GGAAGUUAAGAAAUUGUUUUUUAAUUUUUAACUAAAAAAUCUAAGAACCAGUUCUUAAAGUCUUUAUUUAAGAACCGGUUUUUAGCUUUUUUAGUUAAAAAUUCAAAAACAGUUUCUUAACUUCC
rfam:Brassica napus, WGS project CCCW01000000 data, contig: 14000